UACGAAGGGGGCUAGCGUUGCUCGGAUUGACUGGGCGUAAAGGGCGCGUAGGCGGUUCGUACAGUCAGACGUGAAAUUCCUGGGCUCAACCUGGGGGCUGCGUUUGAUACGUGCGGACUUGAGUGCGGAAGAGGGUCGUGGAAUUCCCAGUGUAGAGGUGAAAAUUCGUAGAUAUUGGGAAGAACACCGGCGGCGAAGGCGACUACCUGGCCUGUUCUUGACGCUGAGGCGCGAAAGCUAAGGGGAGCAAACGGGG
rnacentral:rRNA from 1 species